ACGCCAGACUCCUACGGGAGGCAGCAGUGGGGAAUAUUGCACAAUGGGGGAAACCCUGAUGCAGCGACGCCGCGUGAGUGAAGAAGUAUUUCGGUACGUAAAGCUCUAUCAGCAGGGAAGAAAAUGACGGUACCUGAUUAAGAAGCCCCGGCUAACUACGUGCCAGCAGCCGCGGUAAUACGUAGGGGGCAAGCGUUAUCCGGAUUUACUGGGUGUAAAGGGAGCGUAGACGGCAGCGCAAGUCUGGAGUGAAAUGCCGGGGCCCAACCCCGGAACUGCUUUGGAAACUGUGCAGCUCGAGUGCAGGAGAGGUAAGCGGAAUUCCUAGUGUAGCGGUGAAAUGCGUAGAUAUUAGGAGGAACACCAGUUGCGAAGGCGGCUCUCUGGACUGUAACUGACACUGAGGCACGAAAGCGUGGGGAGCAAACAGGAUUAGAUACCCUGGUAA
rnacentral:rRNA from 1 species